rnacentral:misc_RNA from 1 species
AAGUCGUAACAAGGUUUCCGUAGGUGAACCUGCGGAAGGAUCAUUACAAAUAAAGCUGGUAGGAAGUGGGGUCUUGAUCUGUAAGUGGUAGAGCGAACAGUCCGGCUGCCUCCCGAAAUGUCUUACAUGCCCCCACACCGCAGGCGCAUUGAUAACCCACUUGAUUAUCUACACUUGUUGCUUUUGGGGUGCUCAAGUGCCCCAGAGGACCCAAACCCUCUUUGCAUUUAGUGACGUCUGAGUACUAUAUAAUAUUUAAAAA